ensembl:processed_transcript Gm2822 predicted gene 2822
GUUUGUGUCCUGGAUUUCACUACCCGGGGUUGCGCCUCCAGCAGCUAGGAGGAAAGAACACUUUCUCCUCGCCAGUGGGCGCUCGGAUGCUUGCGGACAUGACUGAUCGCGCCGCGUACCGCCGGCACACAGUGGAUGGCGCUGCCCAAAACCUACCCGGACUGUCCCUGCCGCGAGUCCACUCGGAACACCAGCUUUGCAGCCUCGGAGCCCAGUUUUGUAUUUAGGAAUCUGACAGAAAUUGUCAGUCCUUUGUGGGGUUGAUGAAUUCGUCUUCUCUGCACUGAAUCACCUACACAUCUCCUGCCCGUGGGAAUUGCUGGUCCAACUUGCAACUGUUGAAAGAGACAAAUGACUUCACUUUAUACUAUAUGCCUUUAGCUCGGUGACAAUGAAUCUAUGUCUGGACUCCUCCGUGAAGACUGCUGAACAACUCCACCUUGAUCGUAGAAGGUGAUAGGCAAUAGACAUAUUAGACAGUGAUUAAUUCAAUAGCUAGUGAUUAAUUCAGACCCUCAAAACUGGUGAAAGUCCUGAGAAUAAAUAGGGCUGAGCAUAGGACACUGGUAUGAACACCCGUAAGAUGCUGUCUUCCGAACAUAAUAUGGCUGACCUGGCUGUUCAUUCAUGAAUUCACAGCAAGACCUACACACGAUGGAGCCUGUCAAUCAAUAUUCUAGCAUACCAGGGCAGGAAGGGCGUAUGAGCCAGUAGUGAGGAGAUUAUUGGAAAUGAAUGGCUGCUGAGAGAUGCCAUCUAUUUUCUUCCAGUAAAGAGCCUAACACCCAUGCUCAUGUUUGAAACCCUAAUUAAACUCAGUGAGUCACUGUCUUAAUCAGGGUUUCUAUUCCUGCACAAACAUCAUGACCAAGAAGCAAGUUGGGGAGGAAAAGGUUUAUUCAGCUUACACUUCCAUACUGCUGUUCANNNNNNNNNNNNNNNNNNNNNNNNNNNNNNNNNNNNNNNNAUCCCACCCACAAGGGACCCCUUGAUCACUAAUUGAGAGAAUGCCUUACAAAUGUAUCUCAUGGAGGCAUUUCCUCAACUGAAGCUCCUUUCUCUGUGAUAACUCCAGCUGUGUCAAGUUGACACAAAACUAGCCAGUACAGUCACUAAAAGAAAAGAAACCAAGAUCACAAACUAAAGCCUGGAUAUGCUCAGUUCAGAUUUUUGAGAGCCUGAGGUGAGACAGCUCUGGUAGUAAAGGCACUUUCUGCUAAGGCCAAUGAGUUUGAUCCUAAGAGCCUACAUGGUGGAAGGAGAGAACUGACUGCCAGGAGUUAUGCUCUGACCUUCACAAGUGUGCUGUGUCAUGCUCAGACACAAACACACAUACAUAAUAAAAUAAACCAAUCCAGAUUCAAAACAGAGAUUGCUGAACAAAGACUGAAACCCCCCAUCUCAUCCUACCCUGUCCAGGUGUAUAUUUAGUCUUGUUAUGAAAGACAAAAACAAACAAGCAAAAAAACAAAACCUGAUUGGUCUUAUAUAUGCUGAAUAUAUAUUACCUUUGUAAAUUUAAAAAGAGGUAACUUUACUUCUUAUACCUCCAAAUGUUGUGGAAUCGUCCUGCUUGUCUAUGAUGAGGGUUGCCAACGUUUGCCUAUAUACUUUAAUACAAGAGGCAGAUGGAAAAGAAAUUCUAGUCUUGUCCACCAUGAUGGUAAAGCUGGAAUCCUGCAACAAAGUUUGCCCAUCCUUAAAUUAUGCAUCUUUCGACUUCCAUGGAAAUCACAAACAGAAAUUUGCUACAUCUAGACUUCAACAACAACCAGUGUACUAACAAGCCGAGUGACUUGAAGCUCAGUAUUUAAUUCCCCUCUGCUCACGGGCAAAAUGGAAAUCUUGAUGGUUGUCUUGCAGAGUUGAUACAAGGACUUGAAAUGAUAUAUUCAGGUACUCAAGUGGUGCCCAGUAUAGAAAAGAUGGACCUCAGGGACUUGAGAGAUGGCUCAGCAGUUAACAGCCCACACUGCCCUUGCAGAAUUACCAGAGUCCAUAGCUCAGCACCCACAUCAGGCAGCUCACAAUGUCUUGUAACUCAAGAAGAUCCACUGCCUAUUCUGGCCUCCACAGGCAACUGCAUUCACAUGCACGUACCCACACACAGGCAUAAACACACCCGCACAUAAUUAAAAAUAAAAUAUUUGUAAAAGAAGCUACCUUUGAAAACAAAAUCACACUAGCUUUCUUCAGCAUUUUCCCAAGUCCUCUAUGAGCCACAGAUGAUAAUUUCCAUUAACGUAAAAGGAUCAAAGAUCCACAUAUCAGAAGCCACAAGGGCAGCCUUUGUAGAUGUCGUGUAAAGGGACUGCUGGCCAUCUAUCAGGCCUUUGGGAUCACACACAAAAACAGUUCAACAAUUCCUACCCUCUCCAUCCCCCUAAAUCCAGUAGUGCUUUCUUCCCCCUCCUGGUCAGCCUUCUCUCUGUUUCUCAAACAUACUCUUUUCUACUUCAGGGCCUUUGCAGACUCCUGCCAGGACUGUGCUUGCCCAAGCUCCUUACACAGCCUUCUCCAUCAGUGCUACCCCACAGCCUUCCUAUAAGUAGUCCCUGGCCUCUGCUGUGAGGUUUCAUACCACGCUACUCCUGAACUGCUCUGUUAUCUUCAUAGCACUUAACACCUACUUAGAUUUUUUGUUUGUUUGUUUGUUUGGUUGGUUGGUUUGGUUUUGGUUUUUAUUUUGUAGGAUGGGGGUUGGUUUUUGGGUUUGUUUGGAGUUUUUUGUUGUUUGUUUGUUUGUUUGUUUGUUUGUUUUCUACCAGUAAAAUAUUGAGUAAGACUCAAUAAAGAGGUUCCACCUUU